UCCGAAUUGGUGUAGUGGUUAACAUCUGACGUUUUCACUUAUCUAGGUGAUAAGAAAUCCGUCGAGCCCGGGGUUCGAUUCCCCGAUUCGGAG